UUCAAAUUGAAGAACUCCCUUUAGCAUUUCUUGUAGGAGAAGUCUGGUGUUGAUGAAAUCCCUCUACUUUUGUUUGGUUGGGAAUCUUUAUCUCUCCUUCAUCUUUGAAGGAUAUUUUCCCUGGAUAUAUUAUUCUAGGAUAAAAGUUUUUUUUUUUUCUUCAGCACUUUAAAUAUGUCAUGCCACUGUCGCCUGGCCUGUAAGAUUUCCACUGAGAAGUCUGCUGCCAGACAUGUUUUUUGUUUUUAUUUUUGUAGAGACAGUGUCUCACUAUGUUGCCCAGGCUGGUCUUGAGCUCCUGAACUCAAGCAAUCCUUCUGCCUGGCCUUCCAAAAUGCUGGGAUUACAGGUGUGAGCCAUGGUUCCCAGCCAGAGUUUAAAAUUGGAUAUGACAGUUGGACUGGUGGGUUAGAAUUCCAGUUUCUCCCCACUGAGGCCAGGGUCCAUAAUCUGAGCACAUCUAGUUCAUCUUCUCCAGAUCAAUUUGGUGACUCCCUACUCAGUCUCCAUCUCAGAAGUAGGGACAGAAGGAGGAAUCUGAAGGCAGGAGGAGCAGAAAAUAUGCCUUCAAUACCUCUUUUACUAUCAAAUAUCAUAGAGUCUAAGGGACACGUUAAAGGUCUAUCAUGUGUGAUUAAAGACCAAAAAGAGUGGAAAUGACUAGCAGGGUUUACACUUGGGUUUCUGCAAGUGAGCAGUGAUCCAACAAAGAUGGUGAGGUAGGGUGGAGUGGGUGAGGGUGGUGCGGAGAUUCAGUGCAGGCCCAGCCCAGCAGGCUUAGUGGGGGUGAGGCAUGGGAAUAGUGGUGAGGAUAGUAUUGGAGUUACUGUGCACAAUCCAAGCUGGAAUAAAACUUUAGGACACCUAAGAAUUUGGGGUAAAAUGGUGUAAUGGACAGAAUAUCCUAGAGAAGUUGUGUUGAGUUUGGGGGUAUAAGUGGGACAUCAGGUAAGGAGGCUGCCGCAGUGGCUUAGCAGCCAGCCUGAGAUCUUGGAGAUAAUGAACAAAGAGACCAAGUUGGCAUGUUAUCUGGGAGCUUGAUGGAUCUGGGGAGAGAGAUUUUCAUCUCAAGAAGGAUUUUCAGAAUUUACAUCUGGACUUGUGCUAUUUGAGAUCUCCUGAGUUUGGUUCAGCAGAGCUUUCUGUAAAGCAUCCUUAGCAGCCCUGAUGUCAGGUGACCGGGGAGGUGGCUGUGAUCUUUGGAUAGCCAGGCAGAGUGGAAUUCCUGUGAGAACCCCUGACAAGUACUCUCCUAAGUCCUUUGCUUCAGUGCCCUGAGAAAGGAUUAAAGCUGAUCCAUGCCAACUCUGUCAAUGGGCUCACCCUGGCUUGUUGGCUUAUUGUUGUUGACAGCUUCCAGGUGUAUGUUUUCUUAGAGAUGGAUUCCAUGCAAGAAAAAUGCGACUCUUGUUGCCUAGGCAUUAGUUUAAUAAGUAAACAAAUUACAAAAUACUAAAGGAGAACACGAAGGUCUUUCCAGGCUUCCCACUGGGCUCCUCAGGAACUGCUUAUCUACGACUUUUCACACUAAAAAAGACUCAACAAUUGUACUAUAGACAGGAUGUAUUUUAUCAUUUUUAUCUUAAUAAAUGUUUUAAAGGUUGUUCUUAUCCAUUAGGACUUCAGCACUGUAUAUCUAUAGGGAGCCUCUCAUUUAAUUUGCAGAAUAAACAAUAUCAUUUCCAUUUCAAAUCUAUAAAAAUAAGAGUCCACGAGAUUAAAGAAAUUGUUCUGCAUCACAUAAUAAGGUAUUAAAAGUGGGUCCCUAGCCGGGAAUGUUGGCAGGCGCCUGUAAUCCCAGCUACUCAGAAGGCCGAGGCAGGAGAAUCGCUUGAACCCGGGAGGCGGAGGUUGCAGUGAGCUGAGAUGGCACCACUGCACUCCAGCCUGGGUGACAGAGGAAACUCUGUCUCAAAACAAACAAACAAACGAAAAAACAAAACCAACCAACCAAACAAAAACUGGGUCCCUAACUUGUAAUUAAGUAUCUAUCCAAGUGUCUGUCUUCCACAGAGAACACACAGUCUUGGAGUCUCACUUUCUACUGAUCAGGACCAUUAACCCUGCAACCUGGUUAGGCUACCAGGUUGGGCAGAUUUCUAUAGGACCUCAUCCCCUAAAGAGUAAAAAUCUCUCAACUGCUCCUUACCCCCUAACUUCAAAAGGAUCCAAAGGAUUUGGUUACCCCACAGGCCUGAGAUAAAAGCUUGACUGUCUUUGCAGGAUUUCAAACCUGUUCUUUGGGGAUGGCCCAACUCCACUUGUUCAAUUUUGCAGCCAGAAGCACGGAUUAAUCAUCAGGUAGGACGCUACUUCAGACUGCUUUCAUGUCAAGAUCUGCCUCAUCUUCCAAAGUGGGAGUUCCCAGCAUUAGGCUUGUGGGGGUGGAAACUUAAUCCGCCUCCUUCCAAAAACUGAAAUCUGGCCAGACGCGGUGGCUCAUGCCUGUAAUCUCAGCACUUUGGGAGGCUAAGUCAAGUGGAGCACGAGGUCAGGAGAUCGAGACCAUCCUGGCCAAGAUGGUGAAACCCCAUCUCUACUGAAAAUACAAAAAUUAGUCGGGCAUGGUGGCUUGUGCCUGUAAUCCCAGCUACUCGGGAGAUUGAGGCGAGAGAAUUGCUUGAACCGAGAGGCAGAGGUUGCAGUGAGCUGAGAUCCCACCACUGCACAUCAGCCUGGGCGACAGAGCCAGAUUCUGUCUCAGAAAAAAAAAAAAAAAGAAAGAAAGCCAACCAAUUCUUGCUGUAACUUCUGAAAAAGAACACAGUGCUCUGGCAGCAAUGAUGAUGACAUUCUUCCAAGGGGCAAGAUAAGAAAGAGGCAAAACAGCUGCUGGAGGUGGAUAUUUGGCACUAGGGAAGUGUGAAAUGUGAAAAAUCGCUAUCACAGAAGAUCAAAGGAGUUAAGAAAAACUCACAAUUUAGAGCUACCUGUUUGUAUUAGUCUGUUUUUAUACCGCUAUAAAGAUACUACUUGAGACUGGGUAAUUUAUAAAGAAAAGAGAUUUAAUUGACUCACAGUUCCACAUGUCUGGGGAGGCCUCAGGAAACUUACAAUCAUGGUGGAAGGUGAAGGGGAAGCAGGCACCUUCUUCACAAGGCAGCAGGAGGGAGCGAGAGAGAAGCAAAGUGGGAAGAGCCCCUUAUAAAACCAUCAGAUCUAUGAGAACUCGCUCAUUAUCAUAAGAACAGCAUGGGGGAACCUCCCCAAUGAUCCAAUCACCUCCCACCAGGUCUCUCCCUCAACACCUGGGAAUUACAAUUCAAGAUAAGAGGCCGGGCGCUCGCCUGUAAUCCUAGCACUUUGGGAGGCCGAGGCGGGCAGAUUGCCUGAGCUCAGGAGUUUGAGACCAGCCUGGGCAACGUGGUGAAACCCCGUCUCUACUAAAAUACAAACAACAACAACAAAAAUUAGCCAGGCGUGGCAGCGUGUGCCUGUAGUCCCAGGUACUCAGGAGGCUGAGGCAGGAGAAGUGCUUGAACCCUGGAAGCAGAGGUUGCAGUGAGCUGAGUUCGUGCCACUGCACUCCAGCCUGGCGACAGAGCAAGACUCCAUCUCAAAAAACAAAAACAAAAACAAUUCAAGAUGAGAUUUGAGUGGGGACACAAAGCCUAACCAUAUCACUGUUUUACAGAGUAAACAGUCACCUAAGUUAACUGUGUUAGAUAUGGUUUCUUGCAUACAUUUUCACUACCUUCUCUAUAUACUCCAUCUUUACUCUACAGAAUUAUAGAAACUGGAAGGCUCAAAACUAUGUUUCCCACUUUUCACCAUCCAUAAAAGUCAAUACUGGAUAAAUUGUAAAUCUAAGUGGAACAAUAACAGUUUCACAAGAAAACAGAAGAAUACUCACGAUUUUGGAGUCCACAAAGAUUUCUUAAACUGGAGACACGCAAAAUAAA